rnacentral:rRNA from 1 species
UACAGAGGUCUCAAGCGUUGUUCGGAUUCAUUGGGCGUAAAGCGCGCGUAGGCGGUCUUGUAAGUCGGGUGUGAAAGCCCCGGGCUCAACCCGGGAAGUGCACUCGAAACUGCGAGGCUAGAGUACUGGAGAGGUUGGUGGAAUUCUCGGUGUAGAGGUGAAAUUCGUAGAUAUCGAGAGGAACACCGGUGGCGAAGGCGGCCAACUGGACAGAUACUGACGCUGAGACACGAAAGCGUGGGGAGCAAACAGG